rnacentral:hammerhead_ribozyme from 1 species
AUCCAGAUGACAAGUCUCAAAUAGGACGAAACACGUGUUUUAGAU